ACACGACUCUCGGCAACGGAUAUCUCGGCUCUCGCAUCGAUGAAGAACGUAGCAAAAUGCGAUACCUGGUGUGAAUUGCAGAAUCCCGUGAACCAUCGAGUUUUUGAACGCAAGUUGCGCCCGAGGCCUCCUGGCUAAGGGCACGUCUGCCUGGGCGUCACGC
rnacentral:rRNA from 1 species